rnacentral:rRNA from 1 species
CGGUGGAUGAUGUGGAUUAAUUCGAUGCAACGCGAAAACCUUACUACCCUUGACAUGUCCGGAAUCCCGAAGAGAUUCGGGAGUGCUCGCAAGAGAACCGGAACACAGGUGCUGCAUGGCUGUCGUCAGCUCGUGUCGUGAGAUGUUGGGUUAAGUCCCGCAACGAGCGCAACCCUUGUCAUUAGUUGCCAUCAUUUGGUUGGGCACUCUAAUGAGACUGCCGGUGACAAACCGGAGGAAGGUGGGGAUGACGUCAAGUCCUCAUGGCCCUUAUGGGUAGGGCUUCACACGUCAUACAAUGGUCGGUACAGAGGGUUGCCAACCCGCGAGGGGGAGCUAAUCCCACAAAGCCAAUCGUAGUCCGGAUCGCAGUCUGCAACUCGACUGCGUGAAGUCGGAAUCGCUAGUAAUCGUGGAUCAGCAUGUCACGGUGAAUACGUUCCCGGGUCUU